rnacentral:rRNA from 1 species
UACGUAGGGUGCGAGCGUUAAUCGGAAUUACUGGGCGUAAAGCGUGCGCAGGCGGUUGGUCAAGUCUGAUGUGAAAGCCCCGGGCUCAACCUGGGAAUGGCAUUGGAAACUGUCCAGCUGGAGUGUGGCAGAGGGGGGUGGAAUUCCGCGUGUAGCAGUGAAAUGCGUAGAGAUGCGGAGGAACACCGAUGGCGAAGGCAGCCCCCUGGGCCAACACUGACGCUCAGGCACGAAAGCGUGGGGAGCAAACAGG